AAUAAUAACCAGUAUUUACAACCCAACACAACCCGACCGAGGUGUCACAAGUCAUGAGCAUCUAAAGAAGCAUGAACACAACUACAAGGCCAAUAAUAUACUAAAAAUAAAUACUAGAAUUCUAAAGACAACAUCAAAUUCCGCAAACGCUGGCGGUCACCUUGCCCAGCUACAAUAAUAAUAUCUUCAUCAGCUAAUAACCCGCUACCGGGUGAACAAUACCUGCAACUGCACGUGAGGUGCAUGGAGUAAAGUGAGUACUCCAACCAGUGAGUAAUAAGAGCAAAUAAUAACUGAGCGAUAAGGAAACACGUAAAACACUCCAUCAUGCUAUAUAGGUCAGUGCAAAUCUUUGAGAAAAACAGUAAAACCGUGAAAAAUCCUUUAGAAAAUAUCUAGCUCAAUCAAAAACCUCUUUUGAAAAUAUCCUUUUCCCAACAGUCAAGCAAAUGAAUGUAUAAUCAGAUAGUGCAAGUCCGCACAUAAGUCAGCCCCUCGAGCACAACACUCCAUUAACAAAUAACACCAGGGUAUCUGGUAAUAGUGCAAUAAAUAGCAUGGAUACCAAUGAUAUGAGAGUGCUGAAUGCUAUGCCACAUAGUACAAACAGUAACCCAUGCAUGAAUGCAAUGCAAUACACAUGACCGUUGCGGCGUGCAGCCCGAUCCAUUUGGGUACCCGUGCUCACUGUGGGGGUGGGUUCAGACUCUGGAGGGGCUCCUACAAGCCAAGCACAAUAUCAAUAUCACACCGCUUCGACGUGCAGCCUGAUACAUCCUCAGUCCAGAAUAUGCAUGAGAGCCACUAGGGCUAUGUCAAGUAAUAGUUCUUGCUCAAAACAUAAAAAAAUGUAGUUUAAGUUUUUCAUACCUUAGAAGUAUGACUUGAUAUUUCAAAACAGUGUUUAACUCAGGACUGGAAUUAUUUAACAUGCUAAAUAUCAUGUAAAUAGUGAUAAUAAUCCACAAAGUAUUCAAAUAAUCGGCACGAAGCCCAAAACAUGGCAAUCAGCCCAAAUCAUGAUUAUAACAGGUAGUUUCAGUCAAAUACGUAGUAAUUUGAUCAAUCGGGACGGACCAAGUCACAAUUCCAACAGUGCUCUACCCCACGCUCACUAUCCGGCAUGAAAGUCACCUCAAUACAACACUAUGAUGUGCAAAUCCGAGGUUUCAAACACUCAGGAUAUCAUUUACAAGUAUUACUCACCUCGAAUCGGCAAAAUCUCUAGUCCAUGAUGCCUUUGGCCUUCAAAACGACCUCCACGCGCCCCGAAUCUAACCAAAAUUAGAGCAAAUACCUCAAAAUAUGCCAAGGGAACAAUACCCAAUCAAAAACAAUUAAAAUAUAGCAAAAAUCUCGAAACUAGCAAUACCCGAGCUUCGGGCCCACUUCUUGAAAUAUUACAAAACUCAUAUCACUGGAUUCCUCAUCUUGCCACGAGUCCGUACAUAUCAAAUUUACCAAAAUCGAAGUCCAAAUGCUCCCUCAAAUCCCAUUUUAAAUUCUCAAAAUCCCAAGCCUUGAUUCGUCAAUUUUUGGUUUAAUUUCAUGAAUUUCUAGGUAGAUUUCACAAUAAAACAGUAUUUAGGUUCAAACAUUAUACCCCCAAUUGAUUCUCCUUGAAUCCCUUGUCAAAUCGCUCUCCCAAGCUCCAAAAUCGCUCAACAAUGGAGGAAAAAUGACAUAAGCUCGCGGAUGAAAUAUUA
rnacentral:lncRNA from 1 species